GAUGAACGCUGGCGGCGUGCCUAAUACAUGCAAGUCGAGCGAACGGACGAGAAGCUUGCUUCUCUGAUGUUAGCGGCGGACGGUUGAGUAACACGUGGAUAACCUACCUAUAAGACUGGGAUAACUUCGGGAAACCGGAGCUAAUACCGGAUAAUAUUUUGAACCGCAUGGUUCAAAAGUGAAAGACGGUCUUGCUGUCACUUAUAGAUGGAUCCGCGCUGCAUUAGCUAGUUGGUAAGGUAACGGCUUACCAAGGCAACGAUGCAUAGCCGACCUGAGAGGGUGAUCGGCCACACUGGAACUGAGACACGGUCCAGACUCCUACGGGAGGCAGCAGUAGGGAAUCUUCCGCAAUGGGCGAAAGCCUGACGGAGCAACGCCGCGUGAGUGAUGAAGGUCUUCGGAUCGUAAAACUCUGUUAUUAGGGAAGAACAUAUGUGUAAGUAACUGUGCACAUCUUGACGGUACCUAACCAGAAAGCCACGGCUAACUACGUG
rnacentral:rRNA from 1 species